AUACGUAGGUGGCAAGCGUUAUCCGGAUUUACUGGGCGUAAAGGGAGCGUAGGCGGAUAUUUAAGUGGGAUGUGAAAUACCCGAGCUUAACUUGGGAGCUGCAUUCCAAACUGGAUAUCUAGAGUGCAGGAGAGGAGAAUGGAAUUCCUAGUGUAGCGGUAGAAAUGCGUAGAGAUUAGGAAGAACACCAGUGGCGAAGGCGAUUCUCUGGACUGUAACUGACGCUGAGGCUACGAAAGCGUGGGGAGC
rnacentral:rRNA from 1 species